GAUGAACGCUGGCGGCGUGCCUAAUACAUGCAAGUCGAGCGAACGGACGAGAAGCUUGCUUCUCUGAUGUUAGCGGCGGACGGGUGAGUAACACGUGGAUAACCUACCUAUAAGACUGGGAUAACUUCGGGAAACCGGAGCUAAUACCGGAUAAUAUUUUGAACCGCAUGGUUCAAAAGUGAAAGACGGUCUUGCUGUCACUUAUAGAUGGAUCCGCGCUGCAUUAGCUAGUUGGUAAGGUAACGGCUUACCAAGGCAACGAUGCAUAGCCGACCUGAGAGGGUGAUCGGCCACACUGGAACUGAGACACGGUCCAGACUCCUACGGGGGGCAGCAGUAGGGAAUCUUCCGCAAUGGGCGAAAGCCUGACGGAGCAACGCCGCGUGAGUGAUGAAGGUCUUCGGAUCGUAAAACUCUGUUAUUAGGGAAGAACAUAUGUGUAAGUAACUGUGCACAUCUUGACGGUACCUAAUCAGAAAGCCACGGCUAACUACGU
rnacentral:rRNA from 1 species